GCAUAAUAGAUUGCUUUUUAAUUGAAGGCUGGAAUGAAUGGGUUAAUAAAAAUAAGACUGUCUCUUUUAUAUUUUUAAAAAUUUAUUUUUUGGUGAAAAAGCUAAAAUUUUAUUAAAAGACGGUGAGACCCUUAGAGCUAUUAUUUUAUAUAAAAUAAUUAUUAAAAAGAUUUUGACUGGGGUGGUUGAGGAAUAUAAAAAUCUUCUUUAAAAAAUAAAAAUUAUUUUUUUAUAAAAAAGAUCUUUUAUUGGUUUAUGAAUAGUUACCUGAGGGAUAACAGAUUAAUUUUUUUGGAGAGUUCAUAUUGAUAAAGAAGAUUAAUACCUCGAUGUUGGCUUAGAGUUUCAUUUAUAUGAAGAAGUAUAAUAAUGUUGGUUUGUUCAACCAUUAAAAUUCU
rnacentral:rRNA from 1 species